rnacentral:rRNA from 1 species
CAACGUGGGUAACCUGCCCAAGAGAUCGGGAUAACACCUGGAAACAGAUGCUAAUACCGGAUAACAACAGAUGAUGCCUAUCAACUGUUUAAAAGAUGGUUCUGCUAUCACUCUUGGAUGGACCUGCGGUGCAUUAGCUAGUUGGUAGGGUAACGGCCUACCAAGGCGAUGAUGCAUAGCCGAGUUGAGAGACUGGUCGGCCACAUUGGGACUGAGACACGGCCCAAACUCCUACGGGAGGCAGCAGCC